GGUGUUUUACAUAAAUAACUCUGGGUUUGUUGUGGAGGAAGGAUUUGGGAUGGCAAAUAGCCUGGAGUUAGAGAGACCAGUGAGGAGGCUUUUGCAACAUUCUAGCAGGGGCAGCAGCAGAAGGACCAAGGGGCCUAACACAAGAUAGGGGUCAUGCCAGCUACGGGAGAUCAGAGAAGAGUCAUGGAAGAAUUUCAACAGUCCAUGAAGGCAAGAGGACAUUAUGAAAAUAAAAAAGGGAGCCAAGAGAACAAUUGAUUGAAGUGCACUUGGAAUGAGGAUGAUAUGGUUUGGCUGUGUCCCCACCCAAAUCUUAUUUUGAAUUGUAGCUCCCAUAAUUCCACGUGUCAUGGGAGGGACCCAAUGGGAGGUAAUUUAAUCAUAGGGGUGGGUCUUUCCCAUGCUGUUCUCAUGAUAAUGAAUAAGUCUUAUGAGAUCUGAUGGUUUUAUAAAGGGGAGUUCCCCUGCACACGCUCUUUUGCCUGCCAUCAUGUAACAUGUGCCAUUUGCCUUCCGCCAUGAUUGUGAGGCCUCCCCAGCCACAUGGAACUGUGAGUCCAUUAAACCUCUUUUUCUUUAUAAAUUAACCAGUUUCAGGUAUGUUUUUAU
rnacentral:lncRNA from 1 species